GACGAACGCUGGCGGCGUGCCUAAUACAUGCAAGUUGAGCGAUGAAGAUUGGUGCUUGCACCAAUUUGAAGAGCAGCGAACGGGUGAGUAACGCGUGGGGAAUCUGCCUUUGAGCGGGGGACAACAUUUGGAAACGAAUGCUAAUACCGCAUAAUAACUUUAAACAUAAGUUUUAAGUUUGAAAGAUGCAAUUGCAUCACUCAAAGAUGAUCCCGCGUUGUAUUAGCUAGUUGGUGAGGUAAAGGCUCACCAAGGCGAUGAUACAUAGCCGACCUGAGAGGGUGAUCGGCCACAUUGGGACUGAGACACGGCCCAAACUCCUACGGGAGGCAGCAGUAGGGAAUCUCCGGCAAUGGACGAAAGUCUGACCGAGCAACGCCGCGGGAGUGAAGAAGGUUUUCGGAUCGUAAAACUCUGUUGGUAGAGAAGAACGUUGGUGAGAGUGGAAAGCUCAUCAAGUGACGGUAACUACCCAGAAAGGGACGGCUAACUACGUG
rnacentral:rRNA from 1 species